rnacentral:rRNA from 1 species
UACGUAGGGGUCGAGCGUUUGUCCGGAAUUACUGGGCGUAAAGCGCACGUAGGCGGAUCGAUCAGUCAGGGGUGAAAUCCCAGGGCUCAACCCUGGAACUGCCUUUGAUACUGUCGAUCUGGAGUAUGGAAGAGGUGAGUGGAAUUCCGAGUGUAGAGGUGAAAUUCGUAGAUAUUCGGAGGAACACCAGUGGCGAAGGCGGCUCACUGGUCCAUUACUGACGCUGAGGUGCGAAAGCGUGGGGAGCAAACAGG